UUUCCCUCAUGAUAGAUGGAGUACAUAAUGAAGCUGUUAUAUUCGGUAAAGCGAAUGAUUAAAGGAAUUGUGAGACGAAACGUCUUCAACCUAUUCUCAAACUUUCAAUGAGUAUGACGUUUCGUUUGCUUGAAUGAAGCGUAGACGUUGAAUGUGUGCUCCACGUACGCCAUUUUUGGUGAACAGAAGUAACGCUGUGGGAGGAACCA
rnacentral:ncRNA from 1 species